rnacentral:rRNA from 1 species
CGUUGAUAGGCUAUAGAUGUAAAGGCAGCGAUGUCAUAGUCGAGUAGUACUAAUUACCCAUAGACUUUUUCUU